AUUGAACGCUGGCGGCAGGCCUAACACAUGCAAGUCGAGCGGUAGAGAGAAGCUUGCUUCUCUUGAUAGCGGCGGACGGGUGAGUAAUGCCUAGGAAUCUGCCUGGUAGUGGGGGAUAACGUUCGGAAACGGACGCUAUUACCGCAUACGUCCUACGGGAGAAAGCAGGGGACCUUCGGGCCUUGCGCUAUCAGAUGAGCCUAGGUCGGAUUAGCUAGUUGGUGGGGUAAUGGCUCACCAAGGCGACGAUCCGUAACUGGUCUGAGAGGAUGAUCAGUCACACUGGAACUGAGACACGGUCCAGACUCCUACGGGAGGCAGCAGUGGGGAAUAUUGGACAAUGGGCGAAAGCCUGAUCCAGCCAUGCCGCGUGUGUGAAGAAGGUCUUCGGAUUGUAAAGCACUUUAAGUUGGGAGGAAGGGCAGUAAAUUAAUACUUUGCUGUUUUGACGUUACCGACAGAAUAAGCACCGGCUAACUCUGUG
rnacentral:rRNA from 1 species